CACGAUAUAAUAGCAUGUGAGGUUAUAUAAAAUACUUUAUGUCCAUUUGUAUGGUCAUAGAUCCUGUAUUCAACUUUUAAAAGUUGAACCUACCCUUUGCCAACUUUAACCUACUUGUGCUAAAUCCAGAGUUGGACCUUCCUGCCUUAGCUCAAGAAAAUUAAAUAAAGAAUAAUAAUAAAGAUUUGCUAUAAGAAGAGAAUUACAGUGUUUAUAAUGAUAUGCAAAUGAAGAACUAAACUAGGUGGAAGUACUGGCCUAACUGAAUGUUUAAACUCAACUGCUUUUCUUUUCUUUUAGAGCUUCCUGGGAUCGUUGCCUCACUCAAAGAUGGCUUAGAGGCCACGAAGGACCAGCUGGACCCUCACAAGCUCAAUUUGCUCAUAGGCAUCUCUGGCUCCUGCACGCGAUCACUGUUUUUGCUCUCACUACAUGUCAACAGGAUGCUGUGUGAUAAAGCAGUUUCCAAAUCCCAUAGUGUCUACAGUCGCAGAAAAUGCAACGAGUCCUACUCAAAGAUAACCGACUCUCCACUCCAAGGAUAAGGAUUGUGACAUUUUUCAGUUUCAGUUUGGUUCCACCAUUUGUACUGCAUGCUUGUGACGGAGUACCUUCACUACAGUUGAGUAAGCACUUGGACUGCCAUACCAAUGAGCCUGACUCUUUGGCACUGCUCUCAAAGUUGCACGUUUGGUACCCUGUAGACCUGUGUUUGAAUCUGGGCAGGGUGACUGCUCCCGCCUUUGGCUGCAUAUGGUGUCAGAAGUGGGAUGGCUUGCCGUGAGGUCAUCUGAGCCGGGUCCAGUGUCCAAACCAUAUGAGGGACCCCCAUGGGUAACAUUAAUGAUUGGAUGUGUAUAGUGUUCUUUUCAGUAAUACUGGUCAUAUGUCAUCAUUUUACUGAUUUUUAUUUUUAUUUGAAGGUUUUUUGGUCAAGAAGUGAUGAUGCUGUACCUUUUAAUGUACAGGAAUUUAUUUUUGUAAUGUCCACAAAAUUAAAGUUUUUUAGUUGUCUGUA